CCUGGUGUUUCUUGUUGCACAAAAACGGGAUAUUUUAAGACAUACGAGUGAUGCGCGUCCCGAUGAGAUUAUUAAGACAGCGGUACAGCGGCCACUCGGAACUAUAGGGAUAAUUGAUGUAAAAAGAAACGGGAUUCAUGUCAAAGCGACGAAUGCCAAAAUACACGAAGACACCGCACCACAGAAAGAUCGUUUUGCAUCUAAAUACGUCUCGUAAGCCCUCUGCCUUGGACCAAAAAGUGAACUGCAAUUAAAAGUGGUGUUUGACGGCAAUGUAUGAAGGCCAGGGGACACAGCAGAGGAUCGGGACCCCAGGCAGAGAGUACGUCUGUGGCUGAUUCCUCUCUCCAUCAGCUGAUUCCUUCUGACGGCAACCAAAUCGACCGACGACGUCGAAGGUUGCGUACUUCAAGAGAAAGUAUGCGGAAGAGGAAGAUUUACAUAGGGAUUUUCAUGAAUACUUUCAGCAACACCUGAUACUGCCAGAGGAUCGGCACUGCAUUCUCCAGCUGUCCCUGGAGAAGCUUAGGUUCCUAGAAGACCCAGAGAUCUACCUGCGGCGGUCUGUGCUCAUCAACAACCUGCUGCGGAAACUGCACCGGGAAGAGGGGCGGGCCGAGGAGGGGGGGGCUGCGCCCUGUGCUUGGGACUCUCCACAGAGGCAGCACUAUCCUGAUGCAAAGAGGCUGAAGGCAGUGGUGGCAGACUGCUGCUCCCAGGUCUUUGCCUACGGUGAGGUACCACGGUACCAUGUAGUGCCAGGCUGCCUCUAUGGGCACCCGCCUGACUGCAAUGCCCAGGUUCUGAUCUACAAACUGGAUGACAAUGGAUGAACAGGUGCCCAGCCCCCAGUGUAUGGUAAAAAAAACAAAACAACCAAAACAAAAAAACAGAACCACACGUGUUCAACAAUGACCAAUGGCCAGAGAUACAAAUCGCUGCAGUGGGCUGCCUUCACUGAGCAUCUGUGCCAUCAGUCUCCUACUUUCAAAAGGGAAACCACAACCUGUCAAGACGUUUUGACGAGCUCAGCACUUAGUGAGAGUACAGAUCAAGGGCUGCGUUUAGAGAGCACCUCUGUACUUCACUGCUACAGCACACUGGCAUCGUGAACAACUGUUGGCAGGUCUGCUUCACAGUCACUGCUAAUGCAAAUCCAGGAUUGCUAACAGUUUCAGGGAUAUAUAUAUAAAUACAUAUAUAUGUCUAUAUAUUUUUGUCAACAUAGCUAUUCUGACCAUGCAUAUAUUUUACUAAAAUAACUUUUAAAAUUGUGUAAAAUUGCAAGUUUACCUUAGCUUUAAAACUAUGUGAAUGGGCUAUGUACUGUGGCCUGUCAUGCGUUUUUUGUAUAGAUUACUUUGUAUAUUUUGCUACUACAGCAAAGGUUUAAUUGAAAAAUUAACAGGAUGACCCCUGGCGGCAGAUGUGAAACGAUACAUUAAUUUAGAAGUGAAUAUGAUCAGGUUUGCAUGUUUGUUACCUCAUGGUGGUUAUCAUUUAAUAUCUGUUGUUCAUGCGUUGGAAGGAACUAGGAGUGUGAAGUAGUUUGUGCCCGAAACGAGAUCCAGACAGAUACAAAAUUUCCUUUCCACUGAUAAUCAUUCUUGUGUGCGUUUGAUGCAACUUUAUUUGGAAAGGGCUCGAUGUUGCCCUCUAUUGGUUUGGCGUCAUUGAACAAGGAGAAUGUGUUACAAAUAAGGCGCCUUCAAAGUCGGCAUCAUCACGACUUUUGAUAUUAACCGUUUAAUUUGUUCAUACGUGAAUCUGCGUGAUCGUUAUGUUGUCUGCGGUCCUAAAGUCGAACUCAGAAUCGUAAGAAAAUUGUCAUAUUUACGAGAUCUGUGGCGUUUUUCCCCCACAAUAAAAAGAAAUUAAACGCUCAGGAUCGCACUACUUUCCCCUGCUGUAUACGAUACCUUAUCGGCACAUCUCGCUGACUCGUCGGUAGAAUUUCGUUUGUAUAACUGCAGAUUAGCUUUGUCGGUUGGAUAACGCUUGCCAGCUUAAUGUUUAGUUAAACGUGGGACCGAUUGCAUUAAGAUAUGUAUUAAACGUGUCCGAUUACUCAGAGCCGCCUCCUAUAUUUAUAGUUACCAAAAGGUUAUGAGCUGAAUAUUUUUUUACAAAUGUCGUAAUCGGAGUGUUUUCUCGGCAGGCAGUUAAGAUCACCUGUUUUGUUUACAAUAGCAGAUUUACUAUUGUCGAUUUAUCAUCUUUGGCUUCGCACCUCUGCCUCUCUCUUAAUCCUAGGCCUAUUUGGCGACCCGAUCUGGAGACUGACCUCGAUUCUAACUGACUUUCAAUGUGACCUUAAACCGUCAUUGUAAGCGUAAAGCUAUCUUCGAGGUUCUUGUUUCUGCACUGUCAACACGAACAACGCGAAUUCAGCCGUCGUAAAAAUCAUGCAUUUAUUGCUAUUUGGUUUACGCAGCCUGUCUGUUCUUGUGCAGCUGUUAUUUUUGUGGAAAAUGUUGGUCUUGAAUAAAUGCUCGAAGGUAGGUUAAUAUUGUAUACCACAUAAGAGAAACGGUUUGACAGAGAUGGAAUUUUUUGUUGAGGGCUCAAGGGCAUCAUCUUUACCUGUUAAAAUGUAACACUGUAAACUUCUCCCACAGUGUCAUAUGCAUUUCCCAUCAUGCAAAGCAGCACCCCUUGUAUUUAAUUUAUGCCUAAAUAGUGGCCCAUCGUGAGGGUGUGCGGUUCAACUAGAGAAGGGUACAAUUCAUUGGGAUGGCUCUGAUGUUUGGAGGCAGUGUGGUGAUCGUGCUGCUUUCGUAAUUAUAAUGCGAAUUACAUUACAGAAAACAAUGGAAAUAUAUGACCGCACUUUUCGUCGGUAUUUUAUGCUUUACCUUCCUGACGCUAUAAUAUUAAUGUUGUAUUUAAAUAUUUGAAAAUUAACGCUAUUUACAGAUGUACAGUGUUUGUACGAUAUUACUUCUCUAUUUUGAUAUUAAAGAAUAUUCCUUGUCAGUUUUCCGAAAUGACAAGUAGAACUGGUACAAAAUUAUAAUGACAAUUUAAAAAUUUAAAAUAAAGGGUUAAUGUGUACAUAAUUUAGUACAGCAAAAUAUUUUCGAGGAAAUGGGCAUAUUCACUUAAUUUUGUUGCCAAAUGUAAGAGAAGUAGCAUCAAUGAUCUGCCUUAUUUUUCUGAGAUGAGUUCUAUAUAAUAAAAUUGAAUGUUCA